rnacentral:misc_RNA from 1 species
GUGUGGGGUUUGGGGGAGGAUUUAUUUACAAGUUGAAAUGAUAUUGAAAAUCAAGCUGAUUGCUAUUUAUAUUUAUUUGCUGUUUUUGUGAUCAAAUUCAUCUAAUUGGUGAAGAUUGAUAAGCCUCCAUUCAAUUCAUCUGCUAGAUCCUCAUUGGAGGAACUUGAUAGCUAAGAAUAAAUGUUAACCUGGUGGCCUUGAUAUAUUAAGGGAUGCCAAUGAAAUUGCCCUCUUAAUAAAGGUGUUUAACUACCAAAAAAUAGUGAUUGUUUUUUCUUCUUCCAGGCAUAGUUGUAAG